rnacentral:rRNA from 1 species
GGUCCCUACGGGGGGCAGCAGUGAGGAAUAUUGGUCAAUGGCCGGAAGGCUGAACCAGCCAAGCCGCGUGAAGGACGAAGGUGCCAAGCAUUGUAAACUUCUUUUGUCAAGGGACAAAAUCAGGCUCGAGAGCCUGACCGAGGGUACUUGAAGAAAAAGCAUCGGCUAACUCCGUGCCAGCAGCCGCGGUAAUACGGAGGAUGCGAGCGUUAUCCGGAUUUAUUGGGUGUAAAGGGUGCGUAGACGGGAAUGCAAGUUGGUUGUGAAAUCCCUCGGCUUAACUGAGGAACUGCAACCAAAACUAC